AAAUUGAAGAGUUUGAUCAUGGCUCAGAUUGAACGCUGGCGGCAGGCCUAACACAUGCAAGUCGAACGGUAGCACAGAGAGCUUGCUCUCGGGUGACGAGUGGCGGACGGGUGAGUAAUGUCUGGGAAACUGCCUGAUGGAGGGGGAUAACUACUGGAAACGGUGGCUAAUACCGCAUAACGUCGCAAGACCAAAGAGGGGGACCUUCGGGCCUCUUGCCAUCAGAUGUGCCCAGAUGGGAUUAGCUAGUUGGU
rnacentral:rRNA from 1 species